rnacentral:siRNA from 1 species
CGGGAUCCCUCGCGGGUGCACC